GAGGGAGAAGCAGGCUCCAUGCACCGGGAGCCCGACGUGGGAUUCGAUCCCGGGUCUCCAGGAUCGCGCCCUGGGCCAAAGGCAGGCGCCGAACCGCCGCGCCACCAGGGCUCCCGAAGCUUUGGCUGUCGCCCCAUGUCUCGGGAGGAAGGCCACGAGGCGGUUCGCCGUCUGCCCACGUGGGCUGGGUGCGGGCCCCACGCGCUGGGCGAAGCCUGCGCCGCCCCUUCCCUCGUCCCUGCGGGCUCCCGAGGCUCGGAGCCGCCGGCCUGGCGCGGGGGGUGAAGGCACCGGCCGGGACCGAGGGGCUGGAAGGCGGUCCCGCCAGGGAUCCUGCUCGGCCCUACAAACAGCCUUGCCUACGGUUGUCAAAAACACAUUUCCCGGCCCUGGUGUCUCGAAGCCAAAGCCCGCGGAAUCCAACAACCAGGAAUUCUAAUUCCAACAGGCGUCUUUGGGGCACUUCUGGUGUUUUGAAGACGAAGCGGAGACUCAGGGCCAGGAAGAGGGUACGUGGCAAAUCCGGCAAUGAGGAAGAAGCUUUCCAGACAUUUCCCUACAGAAAUGCAUCACCCCACAGCCUCGCCAUCCGUAAAACGAGGGGCUUGGAACGGAUGACCCCCUAGCAGUUUUUUAGCCCUCUGACUCAAGACAUCUCGAUUUCCUCUCUCCUGUAAAAACAGAUGCUCCAUUGAAACUGAUCACGAGGAAAUGACUUUGCCAUUACCGAUUAGAGGAUAAAAAAAUAGGAAAGGUCUUUUUCAAGUUAGCAUUUCCUAAUUUGAUAGGCAUCACGACUUUGGUAGACUCAUUAAACCAAAUCAUUAAAUCCUUAUAAUAACUAUAGUUACAGAUUUUUCAAAGUUGUCUCGAUUUCAGAUAUUCUGACCAUGAGUUCUGAGUGUUAAGAAACUCUGGUCAGGUACUUAUAAAGGCUUGUGGGAAAAUGGAGAGAGGCAGGAGGGCACAGAAUUCUUCCUAUGACCCUUUUUAUCCUGAGCAUAAGAUUUUUUUGUUGUUGUUAGCCCUUCAUGUCUUUCUGAUGAGUGUUUUUGGGGUUCUUUAGCAAGCAAAGCCCAAGAGUCAUACACCUCCUCCACCCCAUCUCCAGGAGUUCGGAGUCCUCAGCAAUGGGGCUAAGACAUUGAGUUACACCAUGGAUCGAUCUGCUGCUACAGCCAAGGACCAAGAGCUCCGGGCAUCCUACCUGAUGCUCCUUGGUGGUCUGGCACCUGCUCCCAUUUUUCCACUCUUUCUACCACUUUCCUCUGUUUUACAAAAUCUUGCUUGGUGGAAGAGGAAAAGGGACUUUGGAAAGUGGAAACACCUGAGAAUGACUUGGAUGGAGAGCUCUGGAGGUGCCUAUCUUCAUGUGGACCUGCCAUAUGCCACCCUGGUCUGACUUCUAGAGCCACAUGUCAGACUCCAGCACUGCUCUCCGCCUGAUGAGCCCCAGCUUCCCAGGCAGCUCCCCAUGCUUUCCAAGUGCUACUAGCACCUGGGUGAUUUGUUUCACAUUACUCUUAUAAAGUUGCUGCCUCUCCUACAGCCGCGUCAGCAUGCCUCCCUCUUCUUCGGAGAGAGCCAAGAGCAACUAUUAAAAAUGUGUUUGAAAUUACACAUUGCUCGCUCUCCUUGACAGAGGAGCUUUGCAAAGCUCGUUAAGAGAGCGGGAGAAAAUUCCACGGCACAUUUCUGGGUUUAUGGUUAUUAUUUUGCAUGUGCUGCUGAGCUAAUAGAAUGUGACUUCGGACAUCCACGAUCCAAGAGAAAAUGGCCGCCUAAGUCCAGAGGCUUUGCUACCAGAACAGCAGAGAUGGCUACCAUUUUGGCCAUUCACCCCCCCACCCCCACCCCUUUGCUCUACUUGCAGACUCCGUGGUGAACGAGAUGAGAGCCAAGGAGACAAAGAUGAAGAAGGAAGGAAUAAAUUAAGCGGAUUUUGGAAUGCA
ensembl:lncRNA